UUACACCUCAUUGACUGGAAGGAAUCCCUUCUGGUCGAUGAGGUUGUUACACCUCAUCGAUCAGAAGGAAUCCCUUUUGAUCAAUGAGGACCGGAAGGGAUUCCUUCCAAUUGAUGAGGUGUAACAACCUCAUCAACCGGAAGGGAUUCCUUCCGGUCAAUGGGGCUGUUA
rnacentral:miRNA from 1 species